CACGUAGGCACCAAGUGUUGUCCGGAUUUAUUGGGCGUAAAGAGCUCGUAGGCGGUUCAGUAAGUCGGGUGUGAAAACUCUGGGCUCAACCCAGAGACGCCACCCGAUACUGCUGUGACUUGAGUACGGUAGGGGAGUGGGGAAUUCCUGGUGUAGCGGUGAAAUGCGCAGAUAUCAGGAGGAACACCAGUGGCGAAGGCGCCACUCUGGGCCGUAACUGACGCUGAGGAGCGAAAGCCAGGGGAGCAAACGGG
rnacentral:rRNA from 1 species